rnacentral:rRNA from 1 species
GCUNACAUGCAGUCGAGCGGUAACAGAGAGUAGCUUGCUACUUUGCUGACGAGCGGCGGACGGGUGAGUAAUGCUUGGGAACAUGCCUUGAGGUGGGGGACAACAGUUGGAAACGACUGCUAAUACCGCAUAAUGUCUACGGACCAAAGGGGGCUUCGGCUCUCGCCUUUAGAUUGGCCCAAGUGGGAUUAGCUAGUUGGUGAGGUAAUGGCUCACCAAGGCGACGAUCCCUAGCUGGUUUGAGAGGAUGAUCAGCCACACUGGGACUGAGACACGGCCCAGACUCCUACGGGAGGCAGCAGUGGGGAAUAUUGCACAAUGGGCGCAAGCCUGAUGCAGCCAUGCCGCGUGUGUGAAGAAGGCCUUCGGGUUGUAAAGCACUUUCAGUCAGGAGGAAAGGUUAGUAGUUAAUACCUGCUAGCUGUGACGUUACUGACAGAAGAAGCACCGGCUAACUCCGUGCCAGCAGCCGCGGUAAUACGGAGGGUGCGAGCGUUAAUCGGAAUUACUGGGCGUAAAGCGUACGCAGGCGGUUUGUUAAGCGAGAUGUGAAAGCCCCGGGCUCAACCUGGGAACUGCAUUUCGAACUGGCAAACUANAGUGUGAUAGAGGGUGGUAGAAUUUCAGGUGUAGCGGUGAAAUGCGUANAGAUCUGAANGAAUACCGAUGGCGAAGGCAGCCACCUGGGUCAACACUGACGCUCAUGUACGAAAGCGUGGGGAGCAAACNGGAUUAGAUACCCCGGUAGUCCACGCCGUAAACGAUGUCUACUAAAANCUCGGANCCUCNGUUCUGUUUUUCAAAGCUAACGCAUUAANUAAACCGCCUGGGGAGUACNGCCCCNAGGUUAAAACUCAAAUGAAUUGACNGGGGCCCNCACAAACNGUGGAACAUGUGGUUUAAUUCCAUGCAACNCNAAAAACCUUACCUACCCUUGACAUACAAAAAACUUACCAAAAAUGGUUUGGUGCCUUCCGGAACUCUGAUACANGUGCUGCNUGGCUGU